rnacentral:tRNA from 2 species
AGUUAAAUAGUUUAAAUUUUAAAAAUAUUAAUUUUGUAAAUUAAUGAUAUUAUAAAUAUAAUUUUUUCUU